rnacentral:antisense_RNA from 1 species
GUCCAUGGCGGGCGGUGCGUGGGGACCCUUGGGUCCGUCGGCUUCUUCUUUGCUCUUGACCGGCACGCCAACCCGCACCGCCCGCCACCUUG